ensembl:snRNA U6 U6 spliceosomal RNA
GUGCUCGCUUUAGCAGCACAUAUACUAAAUUGGAACCAUACAGAAAAAAGAGUAGCAUGGCCCCUGAACAAGAAUGACAGCAAAUUCGUGAAGCGUUCCAUUCUUUU